AUUGAACGCUGGCGGCAUGCCUUACACAUGCAAGUCGAACGGCAGCACGGGUGCUUGCACCUGGUGGCGAGUGGCGAACGGGUGCGUAAUACAUCGGAACAUGUCCUGUAGUGGGGGAUAGCCCGGCGAAAGCGGGAUUAAUACUGCAUACGAUCUCCGGAUGAAAGCGGGGGACCUUCGGGCCUCGCGCUAUAGGGUUGGCCGAUGGCUGAUUAGCUAGUUGGUGGGGUAAAGGCCCACCAAGGCGACGAUCAGUAGCUGGUCUGAGAGGACGACCAGCCACACUGGGACUGAGACACGGCCCAGACUCCUACGGGAGGCAGCAGUGGGGAAUUUUGGACAAUGGGCGAAAGCCUGAUCCAGCAAUGCCGCGUGUGUGAAGAAGGCCUUCGGGUUGUAAAGCACUUUUGUCCGGAAAGAAAUCCUUGGCCCUAAUACGGUCGGGGGAUGACGGUACCGAAAGAAUAAGCACCGGCUAACUACGUG
rnacentral:rRNA from 1 species